rnacentral:rRNA from 1 species
AUUGAACGCUGGCGGCAGGCCUAACACAUGCAAGUCGAGCGGUAGAGAGGUGCUUGCACCUCUUGAGAGCGGCGGACGGGUGAGUAAUGCCUAGGAAUCUGCCUGGUAGUGGGGGAUAACGCUCGGAAACGGACGCUAAUACCGCAUACGUCCUACGGGAGAAAGCAGGGGACCUUCGGGCCUUGCGCUAUCAGAUGAGCCUAGGUAGGAUUAGCUAGUUGGUGAGGUAAUGGCUCACCAAGGCGACGAUCCGUAACUGGUCUGAGAGGAUGAUCAGUCACACUGGAACUGAGACACGGUCCAGACUCCUACGGGAGGCAGCAGUGGGGAAUAUUGGACAAUGGGCGAAAGCCUGAUCCAGCCAUGCCGCGUGUGUGAAGAAGGUCUUCGAAUUGUAAAGCACUUUAAGUUGGGAGGAAGGGUCGUUACCUAAUACGUGACGAUUUUGACGUUACCGACAGAAUAAGCACCGGCUAACUCUGUGCCAGCAGCCGCAGUAAAAC